rnacentral:rRNA from 1 species
UACAGAGGGUGCGAGCGUUAAUCGGAAUUACUGGGCGUAAAGCGUGCGUAGACGGUUAUUUAAGUCGGGUGUGAAAGCCCCGGGCUCAACCUGGGAAUUGCAUUCGAGACUGAAUAGCUAGGGUACGGUAGAGGGAAGCGGAAUUUCCGGUGUAGCGGUGAAAUGCGUAGAUAUCGGAAGGAACAUCAGUGGCGAAAGCGGCUCCCUGGACCAGUACCGACGUUCAGGCACGAAAGCGUGGGGAGCAAACAGG